rnacentral:rRNA from 1 species
GAUGAACGCUAGCGGCAGGCUUAAUACAUGCAAGUCGAGGGGCAGCAGGACUGUAGCAAUACAGUUGCUGGCGACCGGCAAACGGGUGCGGAACACGUACGCAACCUACCCAAAACUGGGGGAUAGCCCGGGGAAACCCGUAUUAAUACCUCGUAACCUUUUUAAGUGGCAUCACUUGAUAAGUAUAGCUCCGGCGGUUUUGGAUGGGCGUGCGCCUGAUUAGGUAGUUGGUGCGGGUAACGGCCCACCAAGCCUGCGAUCAGUAACUGGUGUGAGAGCACGACCAGUCACACGGGCACUGAGACACGGGCCCGACUCAUACGGGAGGCAGCAGUAAGGAAUAUUGGUCAAUGGACGCAAGUCUGAACCAGCCAUGCCGCGUGAAGGAUGAAGGUCCUCUGGAUUGUAAACUUCUUUUAUGGGGGACGAAACCCGGAUAUUCUUAUCCGAUUGACGGUACCUCAGGAAUAAGCACCGGCUAACUCCGUG